rnacentral:rRNA from 1 species
GUGAGGAAUUUUCCGCAAUGGGCGAAAGCCUGACGGAGCAAUGCCGCGUGAAGGAUGAAGGCCUAUGGGUUGUAAACUUCUUUUCUCAGAAAAGAAUUAUGACGGUAUCUGAGGAAUAAGCAUCGGCUAACUCUGUGCCAGCAGCCGCGGUAAGACAGAGGAUGCAAGCGUUAUCCGGAAUGAUUGGGCGUAAAGCGUCUGUAGGUUGUUUAAAAAGUAUUCUGUCAAAGAUAGAGCUUAACCCUAGAUAGGCAGAAUAAACUUUUAAGCUAGAGUUUGGUAGAGGCAGAGGGAAUUCCCGGUGGAGCGGUGAAAUGCGUAGAUAUCGGGAGGAACACCAAAGGCGAAGGCACUCUGCUGGGCCAAUACUAACACUGAGAGACGAAAGCGAGGGGAGCAAAUGGGAUUAGAUACCCUAGUAGUCC